rnacentral:rRNA from 1 species
UACGGGGGGGCAAGCGUUGUUCGGAAUUACUGGGCGUAAAGGGCUCGUAGGCGGCCAACUAAGUCAGACGUGAAAUCCCUCGGCUUAACCGGGGAACUGCGUCUGAUACUGGAUGGCUUGAGUUCGGGAGAGGGAUGCGGAAUUCCAGGUGUAGCGGUGAAAUGCGUAGAUAAUCUGGAGGAACACCGGUGGCGAAGGCGGCAUCCUGGACCGAUACUGACGCUGAGGAGCGAAAGCCAGGGGAGCAAACGGG